rnacentral:rRNA from 1 species
AUGAACGCUAGCUACAGGCUUAACACAUGCAAGUCGAGGGGCAGCAUGGUCUUAGCUUGCUAAGGCCGAUGGCGACCGGCGCACGGGUGAGUAACACGUAUCCAACCUGCCGUCUACUCUUGGACAGCCUUCUGAAAGGAAGAUUAAUACAAGAUGGCAUCAUGAGUCCGCAUGUUCACAUGAUUAAAGGUAUUCCGGUAGACGAUGGGGAUGCGUUCCAUUAGAUAGUAGGCGGGGUAACGGCCCACCUAGUCUUCGAUGGAUAGGGGUUCUGAGAGGAAGGUCCCCCACAUUGGAACUGAGACACGGUCCAAACUCCUACGGGAGGCAGCAGUGAGGAAUAUUGGUCAAUGGGCGAGAGCCUGAACCAGCCAAGUAGCGUGAAGGAUGACUGCCCUAUGGGUUGUAAACUUCUUUUAUAAAGGAAUAAAGUCGGGUAUGCAUACCCGUUUGCAUGUACUUUAUGAAUAAGGAUCGGCUAACUCCGUGCCAGCAGCCGCGGUAAUACGGAGGAUCCGAGCGUUAUCCGGAUUUAUUGGGUUUAAAGGGAGCGUAGAUGGAUGUUUAAGUCAGUUGUGAAAGUUUGCGGCUCAACCGUAAAAUUGCAGUUGAUACUGGAUAUCUUGAGUGCAGUUGAGGCAGGCGGAAUUCGUGGUGUAGCGGUGAAAUGCUUAGAUAUCACGAAGAACUCCGAUUGCGAAGGCAGCCUGCUAAGCUGCAACUGACAUUGAGGCUCGAAAGUGUGGGUAUCAAACAGGAUUAGAUACCCUGGUAGUCCACACGGUAAACGAUGAAUACUCGCUGUUUGCGAUAUACUGCAAGCGGCCAAGCGAAAGCGUUAAGUAUUCCACCUGGGGAGUACGCCGGCAACGGUGAAACUCAAAGGAAUUGACGGGGGCCCGCACAAGCAGUGGAGUAUGUGGUUUAAUUCGACGCAACGCGAAGAACCUUACCAAGGCUUGACAUAUACAGGAAUAUUUAAGAGAUUAAAUAGCUCUUCGGAGUCUGUAUACAGGUGGUGCAUGGUUGUCGUCAGCUCGUGCCGUGAGGUGUUGGGUUAAGUCCCGCAACGAGCGCAACCCUUAUCCUUUGUUGCCAGCGGUCCGGCCGGGAACUCAAAGGAGACUGCCAGUGAUAAACUGGAGGAAGGUGGGGAUGACGUCAAAUCAGCACGGCCCUUACGUCCGGGGCUACACACGUGUUACAAUGGGGGGUACAGAAGGCAGCUACACGGCGACGUGAUGCUAAUCCCGAAAGCCUCUCUCAGUUCGGAUUGGAGUCUGCAACCCGACUCCACGAAGCUGGAUUCGCUAGUAAUCGCGCAUCAGCCACGGCGCGGUGAAUACGUUCCCGGGCCUUGUACACACCGCCCGUCACACCAUGAGAGCCGGGGGGACCCGAAGUCGAUAGUCUAACCGUAAGGAGGACGUCGCCGAAGGUAAAACUGGUGAUUGGGGUG